rnacentral:lncRNA from 1 species
CUAAGAGUUCUGGAGCCCAUGCCCUGCCUGGCCGCCUGGCCUGGGUGGGCCAGGGGGAUCCCCAGAAGGCGCAUUUGAGCUGAGUCGGGACAGAGGAGGAUGGGCAGACCAGGGGGGUCCAGGGGAGCAGGAAGGUCCCAGGCCAAGUGGGCAGCCAGAGCCCCGAGGCUGAGCAUUUCCGCGCACAGGUUUCCCGAGGCUGAGCUUUCGCGCACACAGGUUUCCCGAGGCUGAGCUGAGCUUUCGCGCGCACAGGUUUCCCGAGGCUGAGCAUUUCCGCGCACAGGUUUCCUGAGGCUGAGCAUUCGCGCCCACAGGUUUGUCCCUGCGUGCGUUGAUUCAUUCAACCGCUCACGGUGAGCGGGCUCUGGGCUGGCAGGUCCUGGCUGCGGGGCCUCUUCCCGUGGAGCUGACAGUCUAGGGAUGGGCACGAGGAGAGAGGAGCAAAGGGUCAAGGGGAGGGGCAAAGGCCCAAAGACAAAUAACAGGGGAGGAGGAGCCGUCCCUCUGCUCGCCCCCAGCUGGGGUGACCGCGUGGUUCAUCCCUAAAACCAGGACACCUAGGAUUUCUCCUGGCAGGGCACCAGGAAUCAUUAAAUUUAUAAAGGCUGGGAAUGCAUAUUUUAGUGACUCGCUGGGUGUAUGAAAAUGGUGGCUCCAUAAAAGACAGUCUGCCCUUGAACCACGAGGGGGUCGGGGCACCCACACUUCUUACAAUUGAAAAUCCAUAGAAAGCUUUUUUUUGUUUUUUUUCCGAUGGAUUCUCGCUCUGUCACCCAGGCUGGAGUGCAGUGAUGCGAUCAUCAGCUCACUGCAACCUCCACCUCCUGGGUUCAAGCGAUUCUCCUGCCUCAGCCUCUUGAGUAGCUGGGAUUACGGGCGCCUACCACCAGGCCCAGGUAAUUUUUGUAUUUUUAGUAGAGACGGAGUUUCCCAAAACAUUAACUGCUAAUAGCCUACUGUUGACAAGAAGUCUUACUGAUAACAGUCAAUUAACACAUAUUUUAUAUAUGUAUCUAUACUGUAUUCUUACAAUAAAGUAAGCUAGAGAAAAGAAUGUGAUUACGAAAAUCAUGCUGGGGAUGGUGGCUCAGGCCUGUAAUCCCAACACUUUAGGAGGCUGAGGCAGGCGGAUCACCUGAGAUCGGGAGUUCGAAACCAGCCUGACCAACACGGAGAAACCCCGUCUCUACUAAAAAUACAAAAAAUUAGCCGGGCGUGGUGGCACAUGCCGGUAAUCCCAGCUACUCGGGAGGCUGAGCCAGGAGAAUCACUUGAACCCGGGAGGCGGAGGUUGCGGUGAGCUGAGUUCACACCAUUGCAGUCCAGCCUGGGAGACGAGAGUGAAACUCCGUCUCAAUAAAAAAAUAAAAAGUAACAAAAAAGAAAAUCAUAAGGAAGAGAAAAUUUAUUUACUUAUUCAUUAAAUG